UGUGUGUGUGUGUGUGUGUGUAUGUGUAUGUGUAUAUGUGUGUGUGUGUGUGUGUGUGUGUGUGUAUGUGUAUGUGUGUGUUAGGCAUAUCCUCAUCUCUAAAACUCUUUAUUGACACAAACUGCCUAAUUUUGACAGUGGAAAUACAUUUCAGCGGUUUGUCUCACAUAUGUUUUUUGUCAUUUGGGGCGGAGUCAAUGCAAAUUUCUCUUAAUAAAGAGACACAGACUUCAUGAAAAUGAAUACCACUGAAGGACAGGGAUUAAAUUUGCCACCAGAAUUCGCUCAUUCGUUAGGUUUUAUUACACCACAGUGCUGUUGGAUUCUCCAAUCACAUUACAUUGUGUGUACAUUGUGUGUGUGUGUGUGUGUGUGUGUGUGUGUGUGUGUGUGUAGGUGUGUGUGUGGGUGUAGGUGUGUUAGAGUAGAUACAGUAUUGUGUGUGUGUGUGUGUGUGUGUGUGUGUGUGUGUGUGUGUGUGUGUGUGUGUGGGUGUAGGUGUGUUAGAGUAGAUACAGUAUUGUGUGUGUGUGGGUGUAGGUGUGUGUGUGGGUGUAGGUGUGUUAGAGUAGAUACAGUAUUGUGUGUGUGUGUGUGUGUGUGUGUGUGUGUGUGUGUGGGUGUAGGUGUGUUAGAGUAGAUACAGUAUUGUGUGUGUGUGUGUGUGUGUGUGUGUGUGUGGGUGUGUGUGUGUGUGUGUGUGGGUGUAGGUGUGUUAGAGUAGAUACAGUAUUGUGUGUGUGUGUGUGUGUGUGUGG